GAUCUGCUCACGUAUUUCCCCUUUUGUCUUCCAGUGGAGCCGAGUCCCUCUCUUCAGAUGAAAAAGAGGUGGUGGCUGGCGGCGCGGAGGGAGAGGGCUCGGCCGAGGAGCACCCCGUGGGAGAGGACGGGUGCGGAAACAGCUCCAGCAGU